UGUUGGAUGUUGAGAAGAAAUCUGUGAUAAAUAUCAUCGCUGGUUCUGAGGGUUUUAUGGUUUAUGUUUCUGUCUUUGUCUUUCUCAUUUCAAGCCCUCUGUCUUCAUAUUAAUUGGUUCAUGAUCUUGAGCAAAGCAGUAAGUGGCAUCCAAAAAUACAUGCCUCUCAGAGGGCAGGGAACCAAGCAAGGAGAACCGUGGUCCCAAAGACUCAUCAGUGCUCUGUUCCCAUUUAUUCCUUCUGGACCUGUCACAGCCUCCUCACAACUCCUUCUGCUGGCUAUUGCUAAGUGUCCAGCACCCCCUUUGAAGAGGAUUUUAAAAACAAUGCAAUUGCCUUCCACUUAGGUCACAUAUAUGCUUGAGAGAUUUGCCAGAAGGUUUCAGUAUGUGAGGAGAUUUUUUUUAUAAGUGAAAGGCAACAGUUGAGGAUUGGAUAAGAGGAGAGCGGUCAUAUACAUCGACAGUAGGGACCUGGGUGAAAAGUGGGAAAAGAUUCUCAAAUGGUGAGAGUAAAAAGGCAUAAAUACUGCAGCAGGGAAAACUAUGGAUUCUCCUUUUUGGCUUAAAGAGGAAAAAAAAGUACAGGUAAUUGUCAGUUAGAUAUGAGAGAGUAGCCCGGCUUAAAGCAGGAGUGUAUCCAUCCCAUUAUGCCACCUGAGUGGGCUCUGACAGGUUGGAAUAUAUAGGAAGCAUCAAGAGGACCAGGAGGGAAGAGAACAAGAGAAGAGAAUGAAAUUAAGCAUAUCUGUAAUACCAUACUCUUCAAAAUUCCAAGGACUUUACAAAGAAUGUGUCUGGACUAACAAAAAUCCCCGUAAAGGGUAGCCAGUGUAUAAAUAAACACAAAUUAGAGGUUCAGGUAUUCUUGUCACAACACGGCUGCUGUGGGCAUUCCAUUGCCUGCUGCAUGCCUGCAAGAGGUUCUAGAUGGCAUGGUUCUCCAAGUUGGUCUGGGGAUGUCUGUGGUUCCCAGAUACUUUCAGGGCAUCUAUAAGGCACUGAGACAUCAAAGGAGAUGAGUGGCAACCCUGUCCUUCAGGUGGACACAUUUUGAAAGGCUACUGCUGUUUGCUCUCUGUGAUCCAGAGAAUAGAGAAAAAAAGAAUUUCGCGUUGUCCAUUUCAGGGAAGCUUCCUGAAGUGAGUGAAGGAACUGUGUCCAAGGACAGUGUUCAGUGAGGCGUGGUUUUCUUCUUGUCCUUAUGCAAGCUCUUUCCUGAAUGUGCCACAGACAGCCUCCCAUAUUCUCUCCUAUAUUCUGACCCCAUAGAGACCCCCCUCCUCUGUCUCCCCAUCCUUCUACACAAAAUUUCAGUGGCACCUCCUAUGGGAAGACCUCUUUGAGCACCUCUACUACCCCCAGGCAGACUUCAUUUCCUCCUCACCUGAGUCCCCAGCAUUCCAAGAGUUAUUAUUGUGUAUUGCUUGCAACUCGUUGUCUACCCCUUGCUAAAUGUUCUUCCUUUAGAGGGAAAUGCACAGCUUCUUCUUCUUUUUUUUAAUAUAAUUUAUUGUCAAAUUGGUUUAAAAAAAAGUGAGGAGAUAUAUUCUUUGACCCUAAGCAUGCUUGUAGCCCACACAACUGGACUCUGGGUGGCAUUCUUAGGAGUCUCUCCAUUUAUCUUUCCCAGGUCAUCUGAAAUAUUAUUUCCCUUUUCUCAAACCUCACUCAUUCUUUAUGACCUGAGCCAAACCCCAACUCCUCCAUAAAGGGAUCGAUGGUGACUCUAAUUUUGCUGGCCAAACUUUUCUCUAAAAUACUGUUAAAUUAAGAGUCUGUGCCACACAGUGUAAAAAACAGAUAUUUCUAAUCUGUAUUGGAUUGUUUCCUUGUUUCCUGUGAGUUACUCUCAUCCCCUUUUCAGGAGUUGAGCUUCUGAAGAGGCUAAUUUAUCAUAUACUUUUUAUAUUAGAUGCUUCCCAAACUCCUUCCAGCUGCAAAUAAAAACUCCAGCUCAAACUAGCUUCAACAAGAAGGACAUUUCUUAUCUCAUGUAGUUACAGGACCAGCCAUAGGGCGGGCUCUAGGCUUGGCAUGUUGGGGUCUCAGCUCCACCUCUCUCUGUGAUGCUCCGCCUUCUUUUACGAGUUGAUUUCAUCUUCAGGCCAAUAGGAGAAUGGCUGUGACCAUUCCUGAGCCCCUUCAGUUAUGACAAUAUCUGGAGAGAAUAAAUGCCUACGGGAAUGUGGAAACUUAUUCUUCAGAAUAAGUCUUCUUCAGAAGACCACCUCACACCGGAAUUAGCCAGAAUUGAGUUACAUGGCAUUUCUUCAACUCUGCGAGGAGAUGGGAUUUCCAUGAUGGGCUGCAAAUUGCCCCAGAACUGAGGACAAUAUCAGUUUCCUCAAGGUCAUGUAUGGUGAUGAUGAAGGAGGUGAGAUAUUUGAACAUAAAAGAAGGAAGAAUGGAGGAUGAGCAUCGGAUAGACGAUCAGUGGUGGACUGGGGCUGCCUUGUGCAAGAAAAGAGCAGAACAUCAAGAGAGAAGGGUGAUUUAUCCUGUGACCAGAGUGCACAGAAUCGACUGGAGAAACUAAUCAAAUCAGACUUGAUAAAGCCGAUGCUGCCUUAUAUCCCCUGUGCCUAGAAGCCUUGUCAAGCUGGUCUGCCAUGGAUCCUGAUUUAAAAUACAAGCUGACUCCUUCACCCCUUCUGAGUAGCAAUCCAGCUGCAUGGA